ACACACACGCACGCACGCACGCACGCACGCACACACGCACGCACGCACGCACGCACGCAAAAAAAAGUCCUCGCUUCGUCAAAAUGUCCUCACUCUGUUGGUUAAAAACUCAUGCCGGUCAUCACAAUGUUAUGAGUACACGCACACACAUACAUAUUCCUGCACUUGUGGCACAGUGAGGACCGGCCCCCCCCCCCAAAAUGUCCUCGCUUCGUCAAAAUGUCCUCACUCUGUUGGUUAAAAACUCAUGCCGGUCAUCACAAUGUUAUGAGUACACGCACACACACACACAUUCCUGCACUUGUGGCACAGUGAGGACCGGCCAAAAAAAAAAAGUCCUCGCUUCGUCAAAAUGUCCUCACUGUUGGUUAAAAACUCAUGCCGGUCCUCACAAUGUCAUAAGUACAAAAACACACAGACACACACACACACACAUUCCUGCACUUGUGGCACAGUGAGGACCGGCCAAAAAAAAGUCCUCGCUUCGUCAAAAUGUCCUCACUCUUGGUUAAAAACUCAUGCCGGUCCUCACAAUGUCAUAAGUACAAGAACACACAGACACACACACACAUUCCUGCACUUGUGGCACAGUGAGGACCGGCCCAAAAAAAAAAAAGUCCUCGCUUCGUCAAAAUGUCCUCACUCUUGGUUAAAAACUCAUGCCGGACCUCACAAUGUCAUAAGUACAAGAACACACAGACACACACACACAUUCCUGCACUUGUGGCACAGUGAGGACCGGCCAAAAAAAAAGUCCUCGCUUCGUCAAAAUGUCCUCACUCUGUUGGUUAAAAACUCAUGCCGGUCCUCACAAUGUCAUGAGUA